GAUGAACGCUGGCGGCGUGCCUAAUACAUGCCAGUCGAGCGAACGGACGAGGAGCUUGCUCCUCUGACGUUAGCGGCGGACGGGUGAGUAACACGUGGAUAACCUACCUAUAAGACUGGGAUAACUUCGGGAAACCGGAGCUAAUACCGGAUAAUAUAUUGAACCGCAUGGUUCAAUAGUGAAAGACGGUUUUGAUGUCACUUAUAGAUGGAUCCGCGCCGCAUUAGCUAGUUGGUAAGGUAACGGCUUACCAAGGCAACGAUGCGUAGCCGACCUGAGAGGGUGAUCGGCCACACUGGAACUGAGACACGGUCCAGACUCCUACGGGAGGCAGCAGUAGGGAAUCUUCCGCAAUGGGCGAAAGCCUGACGGAGCAACGCCGCGUGAGUGAUGAAGGUCUUCGGAUCGUAAAACUCUGUUAUUAGGGAAGAACAAAUGUGUAAGUAACUAUGCACGUCUUGACGGUACCUAAUCAGAAAGCCACGGCUAACUACGUG
rnacentral:rRNA from 1 species